rnacentral:lncRNA from 1 species
UUACAUGACUGCCUUGGUUUUUAGGGCAUAUUUGGUUCAAAAAAGUUGGCCUUUGAAAUAAGAAUAGGAAUGAGUGAUUUUUGUUCCAGCCAUUUGAUUGAAGAAAAUCUCAUUUCUAUUUCUAAUUUGGAGGAGAAUAGAAAUAUCUCAAUCUCCCAAAACCCAAUCCCCAUUCUCUCCUAGUAUUCAUUUUUCAUUCCAAUUUCAAUUUUCAUUAUGAACCAAAUAUGUUAGGGAUAUGGCUAUUUCAGUUCCCAUUCCAAUUUCGAUUUUGAUUCUAAUCAUGAAUCAAAUGCACCCUUAAUGUUGAUGGACUAGAGAUGAAUGGAUUAAUCAUGGAAAGAAGGUCAAGUAUUUAGCAAGCCUAUGAACCAUUAGCUACAUCACCAUCUGACCAAUUUGGCCAUCUUCCUCGUUGCUUGUAGAUGAGGGUUAGUAUCAGAGAUAGAAGAAGAAAGCAACUAGAUGUGCCUAAUUAAAUAUUGAUGAUCAGCACCUAUUUUAUUUCGAAAAAAGGAUGUCACUAUUCAUGUAGGCAUUGCCUACUGAGGAGAGGGGAGAUCGAAAGCUCUCUCUCACCCUCCCCUAGCCUCUCUCUCCCUCUCUUUCUCUCCCUCCUCUUUUUCUCUCUUUUGAAGGAAGUCAGACUUCCGAGAUAUGCAUACAGAAAUCAGAUUGCAGCAAAAAUUAAACUAAUCUAAAUUUAAAUUUUUUUUAAAAUCAAGCAUGCAUACAAAAUAUAGAUAUAAUCUACACAUAGCCAGGAGCAUUCACAUGCUGAAAUUAAGAUUGUAAAAUUUAAAAAUCAGAUUAGAGAUAACACAUACAAAUUAGAGAUCCAUCUCCAUAACUUUGCAUGGGUCGAUGAACACUACAGCUGAUGAUCGUAGUAUACUUUGAGAUUCUUCGAUCAGUCGCAUACAUGUUCGACCAUUAUGGAUAUCCACAUGAGAUCCUCGGAUCAGAUCAAAGGCUCCUGACUUCAUCGAGAUACUAGCUCCCUAGCAGAGUCGUCUCCUGAUACAUGGUUGAUAAAGAACUUCUCCAUCAUUUUCUCUCAGAUCCUCUCAAAGAUGAUGGAGAACAAGAGGAGGGAGAGGAAGAAGAAGAGAUCCUCUAUCUCUUUUCUUCCCUAGAACCCAUGCCAUAAGGAGGAAGAGAUGUGGAGGAGGAAGAAGAGAAAGAUGAAGAAGAGGAGAAAACACCCUUUUUUCCUUUUUUUUUCUCUCUUCCCAAAACCCCACGUCCAAGGAGGAACCCACGCCUAAGAACCUCAUGCCCACA